rnacentral:rRNA from 1 species
AGUGAACGCUGGCGGUAGGCCUAACACAUGCAAGUCGAACGGCAGCACAGUAAGAGCUUGCUCUUACGGGUGGCGAGUGGCGGACGGGUGAGGAAUACAUCGGAAUCUACUUUUUCGUGGGGGAUAACGUAGGGAAACUUACGCUAAUACCUCAUACGACCUACGGGUGAAAGCAGGGGAUCUUCGGACCUUGCGCGAUUGAAUGAGCCGAUGUCGGAUUAGCUAGUUGGCGGGGUAAAGGCCCACCAAGGCGACGAUCCGUAGCUGGUCUGAGAGGAUGAUCAGCCACACUGGAACUGAGACACGGUCCAGACUCCUACGGGAGGCAGCAGUGGGGAAUAUUGGACAAUGGGCGCAAGCCUGAUCCAGCCAUACCGCGUGGGUGAAGAAGGCCUUCGGGUUGUAAAGCCCCUUUGUUGGGAAAGAAAAGCAGAAGGUUAAUACCCCGCUGUUCUGACGGUACCCAAAGAAUAAGCACCGGCUAACUUCGUG